CGAACGCUGGCGGCAUGCCUAACACAUGCAAGUCGCGCGGUCAGCAAUGGCAGCGGCGGACGGGUGCGUAACGCGUAGGAACGUGUCUUGAGGUGGGGGACAACCCUGGGAAACUGGGGCUAAUACCGCAUAUGGGCUGAGGCCCAAAGCCGUAAGGCGCCUUGAGAGCGGCCUGCGUCCGAUUAGCUAGUUGGUGGGGUAAAGGCCUACCAAGGCUCCGAUCGGUAGCUGGUCUGAGAGGACGAUCAGCCACACUGGGACUGAGACACGGCCCAGACUCCUACGGGAGGCAGCAGUGGGGAAUAUUGGACAAUGGGCGCAAGCCUGAUCCAGCAAUGCCGCGUGGGUGAAGAAGGUCUUCGGAUCGUAAAGCCCUUUCGACAGGGACGAUGAUGACGGUACCUGUAGAAGAAGCCCCGGCUAACUUCGUGCCAGCAGCCGCGGUAAUCU
rnacentral:rRNA from 1 species